CUGGGUGCACGGUAGUGGCGGGAGACCAGCUGAGAUGCAGCAAAGAGGCCCGCGUUUGUUUUCUUCACUCGAUGUGAUUCUGCACAACGCGCAAGAGCAUAAAGUUGAAAGAGUUUCUACGUACUAUCGAGAGAAGUACCCGCGCGAGAAAUGAAGAAACGAAUUAUUUUCAAAAUUUUCGUAUCAACGAGGCCACCAGAUUUCUAAAUGCGCCUUUUCGUCAUGGCUUCAAAAGUCGCGAAGACGUCCUCUACGGUAAUAAUUUAUUUUUUUUUUUGCGGGGUAUAGUUUAAAAAUUGGCUGAUGUUAGUGAGAAGACUUUAAAAAAACUUUGAGUUGGUUCUAUUUUAAAAUAUAAAAAGAUUGAGGAUAAGGAGUAGGCAGCCAUGCUCUUCUUAAAGAAUACUCUUAGCUGAGGACCAACAGACAAUAGAAAUAUACAUAGUGUUUUUAAAGAAAAGUCAUAUAUUUUUACAGCUUGUAAAACGCAGAAAAAGAAGAUUUAUUUUAAGACUUAACUUUAAAAACACUCUGAAUAUACAUAUAUGAGCUGAGAAGACUAUAAAAAUUAGAAUGAAGAAGCUAAUACUCAUGCAAAGAAACUGAGGACCCAUGAAAAUGAUUAUGGUUCUCUGAAAUGACUGGGUUUUCAUUAUUGCUGCUAAUAAAGCUUUGAAAAGACUUUUUUUCCUACAAAUCUUCCGGAGGAACUGGUGUAUAUGAAUAAAUAUCGUUAUAAUAUAUGUGGGUGAGUAUUUAGAAAAUUAUAGUUAUAAGCGGAAUUUUUUAAAAUAGACAUUUUUCCAAUAUUUUGAUAAUAAAUUAUCUUUGAAUGAAAACAAAUACAUUAAAAACAUAAUACUUUUAUCGAUAUUUAAAAAGAUAGUCCUUUGGUGUAACGCUCAAAUUACGAGACAGUUUUACCACUAACCAAAACUCUUUAUUUUUGUUCUUGACGCGUGUUUCGCUAAGGAUGUUAGCAUCUUCGGGAGAAGAUUAAAACUAAACUAUAUAAAUCGCAAAAAAAUGCAAUGAAUACAUGGCCAAACAAGUUUUAAACACUAACUGAACUAUAUAAUUGACUAUAAGGGAUUGGACCUUUAUCCCUGUUAAGAAUGUUUUUUUGAUUUUUGAAUAUUGCUGAGCAUUUAAUUUUCUAUUGAUAUUAACCGGUUUAAGUAAUUUUAAGUUGUCUACCCCUUUAAA